rfam:Triticum urartu cultivar G1812 contig449053, whole genome shotgun sequence.
GUCCCUUCGGAGACAUCCGAGAAAAUUGGAACGAUACAGAGAAGAUUAGCAUGGCCCCUGUGCAAGGAUGACAUGCACAAAUCGAGAAAUGGUCCAAUUUUUU